rnacentral:rRNA from 1 species
GACAGAGGGUGCAAACGUUGUUCGGAAUUACUGGGCGUAAAGCGUGCGCAGGCGGCCUUGCAAGUCGGGCGUGAAAUCCCACGGCUCAACCGUGGAAGUGCACUCGAAACUGCUUGGCUAGAGUCUUGGAGAGGAAGGCGGAAUGCUUGGUGUAGAGGUGAAAUUCGUAGAUAUCAAGCGGAACACCGGUGGCGAAGGCGGCCUUCUGGGACAAUGACUGACGCUAAAACACGAAAGCGUGGGGAGCAAAACAGG